AUACGUAGGGGGCGAGCGUUGUCCGGAAUUACUGGGUGUAAAGGGCGUGUAGGCGGGGCAGCAAGUUAUCGGUAAAAACCCGGGGCUCAACCUCGGGCUUGCCGAUAAAACUGCAGCUCUUGAGUGCAGGAGAGGGAAGUGGAAUUCUCGGAGUAGCGGUGAAAUGCGUAGAUACCGGGAGGAACACCAGUGGCGAAGGCGGCUUCCUGGCCUGUAACUGACGCUGAGGCGCGAAAGCUGGGGGAGCGAACGGGAUUAGAUACCCCGGUAGUCCCAGCCGUAAACGAUGGUCACUAGGUGUGGGGUGUGGUCAAGCACUCCGUGCCGGAGCGAACGCAAUAAGUGACCCACCUGGGGAGUACGGCCGCAAGGUUGAA
rnacentral:rRNA from 1 species